AGAUUGCAGUUUCAAUGGGCAGAAGAUGGAGGUACGUGGCUAAGUGCUCACUAUGGUGGAUUGUAAGUAUGAAAACCUCACACUGCAGCUCUUAAUGUGAAAGAAUAGAAGGUGAUAUUUUGCAGCGCUUUUAAAGAGUUCCCUGGGGUGAGCUAUGGAACAGAAGCAAAGAGGAACACAUUCACAGGCAAUUCACUCACGUGAUCAAC